UGUUCUUGUUGUAACCACAUUUGUAUGUGGAGUUGGCGAUUCUCGUCCAGCUCCAUAUGUGUGCACAAUCGUUCCGGACCAAAGGAACGAUCGCCGCGGAAACGUUUUGGCCAUUGGUUAUUUAAAGGCGCCAAUAACUCGCCUCGUCAUAUCGAUUAUCGUGGGCUCUCAGUUGAGCUUUUCGUAAUGACGAUGAACACUACACAAAUCGAAACUGAGAUUUCCAACCCGUGUAGUGCACACAGACCUCCCGUGCCGGAUUUUGUAGAACAGUACGUUGUUGGCAAGGGGACUGGGCAACCCUGAAAUGACAAGCAUGUGAAAUUUUUGCUGCUCCGGAGAAAAUUGUUUGAAAUUUAAUUAAAAUUAAAAAAAAGUGCAUUAUUAACUGACUGGAUUUGAGUGAGUUGAGCUCCUUAUAAGUAUAUUUGAGAAAUGUAUUUGCUGCCUUUGAGUAUAUUGCUGUUUGGUUGCUCCUUCACCUUUUGAUACUCACUGCCCUGUUGCUGCUGGUGUCUUAUUUGUACAGAGCUGAGUUGUAUUGCUGUCAAUAUGGCGCCCAAGAGAAGAACAUAUAAAUGCCCAAAACGCACCAUGAAUGUUACUGGAAAUAGUAUUGGGUACAGUGUUUGUGGAGAUUUUUUCCACAUAGCAUGUCUUAAGUGCACCAAGUGUUAAUUGCCUUCGUUGGAUGUUGAUAUUGUUGCCAAUGAUCUUAGCAGUACGACUACUGCUGCAGUGACGGAUAAACGCGUAAUGAGCUGGAAACCUGCUGCUCUUAAUUGAGAAAUUCUGGAGAUGCAAACCAACGAAAGUUUCGCGUUGAAUAGCUGGAACAAGUAAAUGUUUUUCAAACUAAAAUAAGCGGAUAAGGAGGUUCGAGAUGAGUUUAACUAAGUGAAUUGGAGGAUGAGCUCAAGAAUAAUCACGAUAUAAUCAAACAUUUAGAGACUAAUCGUAGUAAUGAGACUCGUAAUUUACAAAUUAAAUUAUAUAUAAGGCAGAGAA
rnacentral:sRNA from 1 species